rnacentral:rRNA from 1 species
UAAUACCGGAUAUUAUGAGAUUCUCGCAUGAGAAACUUAUGAAAGCUAUAUGCGCCAAGAGAGAGCCUUGCGUUCCAUUAGCUAGUUGGUGGGGUAACGGCCCACCAAGGCGACGAUGGAUAGCCGGCCUGAGAGGGUGAACGGCCACAAGGGGACUGAGACACGGCCCUUACUCCUACGGGAGGCAGCAGUGGGGAAUAUUGGACAAUGGGCCACAAGCCUGAUCCAGCAAUUCUGUGUGCACGAUGAAGGUCUUCGGAUUGUAAAGUGCUUUCAGUUGGGAAGAAGAAAGUGACGGUACCAACAGAAGAAGCGACGGCUAAAUACGUGCCAGCAGCCGCGGUAAUACGUAUGUCGCAAGCGUUAUCCGGAUUUAUUGGGCGUAAAGCGCGUCUAGGCGGAAAAAUAAGUCUGAUGUUAAAAUGCGGGGCUCAACUCCGUAUUGCGUUGGAAACUGUUUUUCUAGAGUACUGGAGAGGUGGGCGGAACUACAAGUGUAGAGGUGAA